rnacentral:snRNA from 1 species
CUCUAUUUUUUAAGGGAGAAAGCCCACU